UUAAAAAUGCAGACAAUCAGUCCCUUUUAGUCUUGGGCAAAAUUUUCCAGCUUUUUACAUAUAAAACAAAUAAAAAUAGAAAUCGGAUAAAACAAACAGACAAGGAAAUAAAUAGAGCCGCGUAAAUCUUUCAGAAACGUGGGAAAUCACUUGAAUAAUUACGGAAAUUCUGUACUUUAUAAAUCAUAUAAAAAUAUCGGGACAAGUGUAGCCAAGAGUUCGGGAGAAACACGCACGAGGUUUUCAUGUUGUUUUGAUAAAAAUGCACGAGGUCUAAUGUUAGUGGCUUGAAAAAUUCGACAUGUGCAGAAAAUGAGAACUGACGGCCAAGAAAAAACUUCGAUCAAAGAUUGUCACAAAGGAAUUGAACGUUUUUGUUGCUUUAAUCACUAAAUGUGUUGCUUUAUUGUCUUUUCAAUGAUCUACGUGGCUAUAUAUAGCCUCAAGAGUAUAUAAACGAUUCACAGUUCGAGUAUUUUGUUUGAGAAAGAAAGUUAGAAAAUUUUGCCUUUGUUCUUUCGUUACACAGUGUAUGUGUAUUUGUAUAUAGUCAUUUAUGUAAAUCAAAACUUACCUGUUUCCCCACUUAGCAUGAAGUUCCAUGAUGAUAAGUUGCUCCUCCGGCGUGAUGUUUCCACGUCGUACGUCAGGGCGGAGAUAGUUCAGCCACCGGAGCCGGCAACUUUUCCCGGUGCGUUUUAGACCUUAUAAACGUUUAUUCAAUAAAUCAUCAGUCAAAUAUUGUUUCAUACGUACUUGCAUAUCCACAUAUGUGUGUAUUAUAUAAAUCAUGAUCAUUAAAACACUGUUUAUUAUUAGAUACUUACCUGUAAACUGUCUUACAUAAUUUUAAUUCAUCACUAGGCCUAUAAAACAUUUACGCAAAACGUCUUUGGAGGUUUCCUUUAAUUUAGAUUAAAUUUUAACAAGGAAAUAAUAUAUUAACAAAACAGUUUUUUCGUUUUAACCAAAGAAUUGAAGAUAUAGAUAACAAGUGUGCUUCAUAGGUGUAGAUAAUAACUAUACAAGAUAAAAAAAUUGGUAUGAAUCUAAUACAAGAAAAAAAUAUUGUUACUUGUAUGAUACCUAUGCACGUUAUGUAGAAACCCUAGUUUAUAUCGAAAAAAUAUACGACGUAAAAUAAAUCUAUAUAUACAAAUAUAUAUGGGUGAUUAAUUAUAAUUUGAAAUUCUUUAAGAAGAAAUCAAAUGAACCUGCAGAUUUGGCGAGAGUGUUCCAAACGCCAUCCCCGUGGUUGGCGAUAUAGUUGAUAAGAAUAAGAUCUUCUUCCAUCGUCCAUGGUCCUUUUCUCACCUCUGUUUCUCCUGAUGAUCCCGAACCUCCACUACAUAUUCCUCCUCUUUUGUCCAUUUUAUUCUUAUUUAUUUAUAACUCUUAUAGCUAGAGGGAGAGGAAAUUUAAAAGAAAGAGACAAGUAAGAGAGAAGGUUGUGGUGAGUUGAUAUUGAAGGUUGUGGAAGGAUGUAAAGUUUAUCGAAGGUUCUAGAGUACUGCAGGCAGAGUCAUUCAUUGUGAUCAUCUGCUACAGAGAGCUAGAGUUUGUCCACGAAGUUAUCGUACAUGCAGAACCAUUCGUCGAUCCAAAUAUUUUAGAGAAAGAUUCAUCAUAGAAUCAUUAUCCGUGAAAUUGUUCAUAAAGUUGCAGGUAGUUGAUAUCAUAUGUAAUAGAACUAGAGAUUAUAUGAUGUAAUUGGUGAUUUACCCAAUGUUAACAAAUAAUACAAAGUUAAAUUAAUG